rnacentral:lncRNA from 1 species
UUUAGACAAAGGAUAAACUAACUUCUAAAACAAACAACCUCAAAAUUUCAGAGACUUAAUUACAUUAAGUUGUAUUAAAUAUUUCUUUUUUUACAUCACAGUUUAGUACAGAUCAUUUAGGAGCCCAGGCUAAUGGGUUUUCUCUCUAGGUUGUCUGUCUUCUAGGGCCUUGGCAUCCUUUAAUGGGUUCUCUAUAUCUGGCCAAGAAACAAAAAAAGUGAAAGAGAGAGAAAGAGAGUGCAGGAGCACACGCAAAGAGCUUGAGAAGUUUCGAGCCCUGGCCUGGAAGGGGUACCCCAUAUUUGUUCAUCUGCACUUCCUUAGUCAGAAUCCAGUCCCAAAGCCCUAUGAGUGCCUGGGGAGUGAGAAAGAUAUUCUAUCAGCAUGUCCAAAAGCACAAGUAAAGGAUGCAGCUGGAUACAAAAGCUGUUACCAGCCUACUAAAAUACCCAAACUGAGAAACCUCAAACUGGAAUGGCCUCUACUGUGCCAAACUAUACCACAUACAGUUUGUGAUCCUCACAUCUUGGUGUGUGAAAAAGAACUUCAAAGAGGCUUGUUUGAUGGAUUCAGGACCUCAUAGAAACUCAUGGAGCUCGUGGCUGUCUUGUGCUAAUAUUCUUUGCUAACAUUUAGUUAAUUUUGUUGCACGCAUGACAUGUGAUUUGUGUGAAUCUGCUUUGACAGUUUGAUCUUUUUUUAAAAAAUUAGUUGACAAAAAUUGCACAUAUUUAUCCUGUACAACAUAUUGUUUUGAAAUUGUGGAAGAGCUAAAUUGAAUGAAUUAACAUAUGAAUUAUCGUACAUUUUUUGUGAUGAGAACACUUAAAAUCUACUCUCUUAGCAACUUUCAAGAAUACAAUGCAUUGUUAUUAACUAUAGUUGCCAUGUUGUAAAAAAGAUCUCAUGAAUUUAUUCUUCCUACCUCAACUGAAAUUUUGCAUCCUUUGACCAACAACUCCCCAACAAUUACCCCCAACCUUGCCCCUGGUAACCACCAUUCCACUCUUUACUUCUGAGUUCAAAGUUUUUAGAUUUCACAUAUAACAGAUCAUGUGAUAUUUGUCUUUCUGUGCCUGGCUUAUUUUACUUAAUGUCCUUCAGGUUCAUCCGUGUUGUCACAAAUAAUGGGAUCUCUUUCUUUUUUUUAAAGAUAAAUAGUAUUCUAUUGUAUCUGUAUACCACAUUUAAAAAAACUAUUCAUUUGCUGAUAAGCAUUUAGGUUGAUUCCAUAUUUGGGCUAUUGUCAAUAAUUAUGCAAAAAACAUGAGACUGAAUUAUAACAAAUUGUAUUAAGUAUCACAUUUAGGGCAAUUUAAUCUUAGAAGUAUGACCCCAAUAAAAUUACUUAGC